GAUGAACGCUGGCGGCGUGCCUAACACAUGCAAGUCGAACGAAGCAAUUAAAAUGAAGUUUUCGGAUGGAUUUUUAAUUGACUGAGUGGCGGACGGGUGAGUAACGCGUGGAUAACCUGCCUCACACUGGGGGAUAACAGUUAGAAAUGACUGCUAAUACCGCAUGAGCGCACAAUACCGCAUGGUACGGUGUGAAAAACUCCGGUGGUGUGAGAUGGAUCCGCGUCUGAUUAGCCAGUUGCGGGGUAACGGCCCACCAAAGCGACGAUCAGUAGCCGACCUGAGAGGGUGACCGGCACAUUGGGACUGAGACACGGGCCCAAACUCCUACGGGAGGCAGCAGUGGGGAAUAUUGCACAAUGGGCGAAAGCCUGAUGCAGCGACGCCGCGUGAGUG
rnacentral:rRNA from 1 species